rnacentral:rRNA from 1 species
UAGGGAAUCUUCCGCAAUGGACGCAAGUCUGACGGAGCAACGCCGCGUGAGUGAAGAAGGAUUUCGGUUCGUAAAACUCUGUUGUUAGAGAAGAACAGCGCAUAGAGUAACUGUUAUGCGUGUGACGGUAUCUAACCAGAAAGCCACGGCUAACUACGUGCCAGCAGCCGCGGUAAUACGUAGGUGGCAAGCGUUGUCCGGAUUUAUUGGGCGUAAAGCGAGCGCAGGCGGUCAAUUAAGUCUGAUGUGAAAGCCCCCGGCUCAACCGGGGAGGGUCAUUGGAAACUGGUUGACUUUAGUGCAGAAGAGGAGAGUGGAAUUCCAUGUGUAGCGGUGAAAUGCGUAGAUAUAUGGAGGAACACCAGUGGCGAAGGCGACUCUCUGGUCUGUAACUGACGCAGAGGCUCGAAAGCGUGGGUAGCAAACAGG